CUCAAAGAAACCAAAGAAAAAAAUCAGUGAAAUCGAGUGAGGGAAAUCGAGAGAAACUAGAAAUCAAACAAAAAUCAGAAAUUAAACCAAAAGUCUUCAACUGAUUUGUGAUUACUUAAACCUAAAAAGUUGUAUGAAAAACCCUAUUUUAGCUUUUAGCUUGAAACUCUCAGAAGAAGAUUUGAUUUGUAGAAGUGAAAACCCUAAAUCUCUAACCUCAGGAGAAGAUUCAAGUAAAUUUUUUGGAAGAUCCAACUGCAAAUCCUCAGCGGACCAAGGAUCGAGGUUUAGAAGGAAUGUACAGAUUAGCACAGAAAUACAUGUUGUUGAGACCAACAUCUUACACUCACAGGCUGAUGGGGGCUCGUCUUUGGAAUUUUUGGGAAAUACAGUAUUGAGGUUUGAAUGGGUUAUAUUCAAGCUCUAGAUAUAGAUAUGCAAACUGUAAAAUAAUUGGUACUUGUACUUAAUCAGUCAUGUGCUUCUAGGAAGGUUCGACGUGUACUUGCAUAUAAGCAUCAUUUUUCUUUUUGUAUUUACUUAAGCUUUAUUGGAUGUUUCCUUAAUUUUAAUAUAUGAGAUGAUUGGUUAGUAUUUGUAGGAUGCAUAAAAGUAAAACUGAUGAUGAGAGUCGAGAAGAGAAAGAAGAUGAGUAUUUUUCAAGUCUUUUACUCUAUGAUAUUAGAACCUUAACUCGAGGCGACUGCUUGAAAAAUGCUUCAAGUUAUCGUGGUUAAUUUUUUCAACUUAAUUACAGUGAGGAUAUAGGCGAAUAUAUAGACGAUAAGGUUAUCAGUCUGAAAAGCAUACGUGAAAUGCUUAUCAUCUAUAAAACAUUCUUGCCUUGAGAUGCUUAUCACUUGCAUUUGAUAAUUUUCUCAUUAUAUUUGAUUUGCAGCCAAGUCAAUUUGAGAGAAGAUGUAAAUUCUGGAGGGGACUAUAAGUUUAUUGGGAAGAUGGUUAAUGUUUAUAUUCCUAUCAGUGUAGUUGAUCGAAUUCUCUCUUAAACACUAGAUUUUCUUUGGCUCUUGUUUUGAUUAGUUGGAAUGUGGUUAAUGUUUUUACUCCCAUCAGUGUAUGCAUAUAUUUUUAACAUAAUGAGUAGAUUGUAUCUAGUUUUUUCUAUCUGGAGAUGAACUCAUUCGGUCACGUUGGAUGUCUAAAUUCUUGAAAAUGAAGAUGGUGAAUUCUUACGGGUAAAAUGCUACUCAACUGUGUUGAAUUUUCUUUAGGUUUUCUAGUUUUGCAAGUCCUUAAGGUAUGAUCAGUUGCUUAGAGUUGUAAAAUUCAAGUACCAACGACUUGAGAUUCCAAUGUUUUCUUACACUAAGUUAACUGAUUUAUUAAAUCGUGAUAGUUACUUAGCUUUGUAUUUUUUUAGCUUCAGCUGCUUAGUGAUCAUGAAGGAGAGGUGCUCAAAGUGGUAGAUUUCAGGUACAAUGUGUCAGGAGGUGAACCUGAGAUUCAGAGGACCAUGUUAUAACUGUUGAACCAGUUGGAUGGUUUUGAUUCUCGAGGAGAUGUCAAAUGUCAUUCUUGCAACAAACAAAAUUGAUCCUACUUUGCUAAAUCCUGGACGAAUAGGUUGGGAGAUCGCGCUCCCUCUUCCUGUCACCAAAACAAGGAGACACAUUUACCAGACGUAUCCACCCUUCAUGCAUGACAUUAGAUGAUGUGAACCUAGAAUACUUUGUGAAGAUUAAAGAUGAAUUCUCUGGAGCUGAUAUGAAGAUUAUGUUUACUGAGGCCGAUUUGCUUUCUUUAGAGGAACACCAUAUGAAGGUAAACAUUUAGCUGAACAGAUUGUUAUGUUGGAUCAUGCGCUGAUUAUAUUUUAUCUGAACAUGAAGAUCGACCCAGUGGCAGUACACACCUAAAUACUGAUCUCUAACCGAUGUUUGCACAUCUGUGUUAUAACUGUUGUUAAAUUUUGCAGAAUGGAAAUUUAGGUUUCCAACUACUUUGCCUUUAUUUAUUCAGUUUCUGAUGUCAAUGGGUUAUAAAGGGUACCUGUGAGUAAGCCCUUCACUACUUGACAGUGUCAGCGGUCUUGUAAGUUCCUUCAUACUACUUUCUUUCAAUACAUGAGCUCCUACUAAAGGCCAAUAACUUAAGAUUUCAGACGUAUGGUGAGGGAUUUCUUCAUUUUAUGAUCUUGGUUCAUCACUGACUAAUGAGUAUUUUGUUGUUAUUGCAGGAAAUUUCUUUGUUCUUACUUGUAUCAUAUUACACUUUCUGGAAUAAUGUAUCGGUCGUUGUUGUUUGUGCCCUAUUUUUGUAACUUGGAUGGUACCAGGUAUGAAAGACUUUGUUUUCAUCCCCUUGAUACACGAUAUUUUGGCUAUACUGAAUUCAGAGGAGAGUAUAAAAUUCUAUUGUUUCUCCUUCGUAAUGAUAUUUGGGUUGUUGAUCAAUUUUUACAAAUUGAAAGAAGCAUGAAGAAAACCUUUUCUACCUGGUAAUGUCAAAGCUUUGUAUAUUCUUUAGUAUAGUUGGUAGUGACAUGGUAUUCUACCUUGUUAUAUAAUGACAUGAUACUCUACAUGGUUCUGAUUUUUCAAUUUUAGUUAAAUGAUAUCAGUAAACUGUCAGUGAUAUAUUAUCUUGGUGUUUUGGUGCUGAAGCCUGCAGUUUGUAACUUAGCUUGGAACUAACUGUUGGUCACUGCAAAGGGAAGAUAAAUUAGCAGCAUCCGUGGACGUAAAGUGAUAAGAAGAUUGAUGAGAAGAAGGAAACUCCACUAAAAGGUGUAUUUGUGUAAGGAAAAUGUUCAAGUUUGAAGGACUUCAAAAUUGUGUAAUAGUGUUAAACUGCUUCAUAGUUCUUGAAUGCAAUUUGUAUUUUGAGAUAUUGAUUUCAUUUGUUGGACGCUUAAGUUACUGAUUUUUAUGACAAACUAGAAUCAUAUGUAGCUUUAUGAAGUAUAUAUAUAAUAAUUAAAAUGAAAUUUGCCAAUUUAUUAUUUUU